GGAUGAGCCCGCGGCCUAUCAGCUUGUUGGUGGGGUAGUGGCCUACCAAGGCGACGACGGGUAGCCGGCCUGAGAGGGUGACCGGCCACACUGGGACUGAGACACGGCCCAGACUCCUACGGGAGGCAGCAGUGGGGAAUAUUGCGCAAUGGGCGGAAGCCUGACGCAGCGACGCCGCGUGGGGGAUGACGGCCUUCGGGUUGUAAACCUCUUUCAGCAGGGACGAAGCGAGAGUGACGGUACCUGCAGAAGAAGCACCGGCCAACUACGUGCCAGCAGCCGCGGUAAUACGUAGGGUGCAAGCGUUGUCCGGAAUUAUUGGGCGUAAAGAGCUCGUAGGCGGUUCGUCGCGUCGGCUGUGAAAACCUGUGGCUCAACCUCAGGCCUGCAGUCGAUACGGGCGGACUUGAGUUCGGCAGGGGAGACUGGAAUUCCUGGUGUAGCGGUGAAAUGCGCAGAUAUCAGGAGGAACACCGGUGGCGAAGGCGGGUCUCUGGGCCGAAACUGACGCUGAGGAGCGAAAGCGUGGGGAGCGAACAGGAUUAGAUACCCUGGUAGUCCACGCCGUAAACGUUGGGCGCUAGGUGUGGGGCUCAUUCCACGAGUUCCGUGCCGUAGCUAACGCAUUAAGCGCCCCGCCUGGGGAGUACGG
rnacentral:rRNA from 1 species